ensembl:lncRNA
CGGAGCGCGGCGCUCCGCACCUUGACCGGCGGCACCGGGCGGGCCGGGCCGGGGCGGCUCCGGUACCGGGGGCGGGCGCCGCUCUUUGACCCUCGGGUUGGUCGGGGAGCCCGGUUUUGUCGGGAAAGCCGGAUCCGCGCCGGGAUGCGGACAAAGACACGGAGCAGCUGUUCGGGAAUAAAGCUGAAAUAGUAGAACCUGGGAGAGAAGUUAGCUUGGGGGAGCUAUUAUUUUCGCCGCAAAACCCUCGGGAGGUAUUAAACAGCUGCAUCCAAACGACGGAGCGACCCAAAGGCCGGGAUCCCACCGCCUCGCCGUCGAGCAGCGGGCGCGUGGCUCAGCGCACGGCCGCAGGUGGAGCAGCCCCGGCCCCGCAGCCCCUCUCCAAUGAUGGGUGUAAUGUAACGUGGCUGCCGCGGGACACAACGCCGGGACGCGGGCGCUGGGUCUGGCUGUCGGUGACGUCUGGCUGGCUGGGUGCUGGCUGUAGGGUUCGGGGGAUGGAAGGAAGGGGGUAAAAAUCAAUCUUUGCCUCCACUAGGUUCCUCUGCAAAGAGCAGCGUAGCAGAGCGGUUGGGAGAGCUGUGCUGGACAGAGGACGGCCGGCCGCGAGCGGAGCCUCCCACCGGCGAGCAUUGCCAGGCGAGGAGAGAAAACCUGGGCAGCCUUAAAACACUCAGAGUGUAAUGUGACGCUUCCAAACCUUUGCAGCCUGCGGUAAGCCGAGGGAAGCAAUGAGUAACCUUUGCUUUCAAGUGAAAACGGUGCGGUGGUAACAUCCCGAUGGAGCCCGUGCGCAUCGGGCAUUGUUUGGAAUUCUUGCCAUAUUUUAACCUCUGCCGUGUUGGCUGCUCGCAGGAACAAGCUGAGCGCUCCGAGAUAACACUGCGUUUUGUCAGAUGCUUUAUAACGUUGUUUAGAGACGUGCUCGGAUCUAUUUAGUGCUUCAUAAAUAUGAAUAAAGCGUUUACAAAAGGCACGUCACCGCAGAAGUAACCGUGGAUUAUGCCAGCUGCUCGCAGUUUACACGUUACAAAUUUCCUAAACUGUUCUGAACUACAUUUUACCGGGGGCGUUUUUACCCGCGAUUAAAUACAACUCAGCGCUGCCCAGCAAAUAUCUCUGUUGAUUUAUGUAUAGGAAAUCGGGGAAUCAGCAUUGGCCCAAACCCCAAAUUACUGCUGAAGCAGUUUCAAAUAUUUAUGGACCUGUUAUGGGAGGAGAGAGGAAUGUCAUGUUUUUUUUUUUCCCAAGGCCUCGCUGUGCGCAGACCGAUUUUCUCAGCCGUUUCCGCCCCGGGUGCGGGGUGCCCUGCAGCCCCCCCAGCACAGAUGGGUUUGUGAUGUGAUUGCUGUGCUGUUGGCUGCAGGACAGUGCGGGUUGCAGCCCUGGGUUGCUGUAGGCUCAGCCAUGGUAGUGUGGUUGCAAUCCUGCUGCCCUCCGGCCCUCAGUGCUUUUGUUUGUCCUGGAAAAACGCAGCGCGGUCCCGCAAGGCCUUGCGUUUGUGCUGGGCAUGAAUUUUGCACUGUCCGUUUUAUUUUACCCUCUUGUUUUGUGUUGUUGAUUUUGGUUUGCUUUUUUUUUUUUUUUUUUUUUUCUGGGUUCCCUCCUAGCACACACGCAGUCUUCCUCAGGGGUCCCCAAAAGGAGUUGUGCCACUCCCUGAGCAUCCCCCAGCCCAGCAUGGUGUUGGGAUGCAGGCAGAAGCCUCGGUGGGUGCAGGGCUGUGCCAGGAGCAGCCACCGUUUCUACUGCAGAUGUGAACAGGGGGUGCCCAGCUGGGUGGAAGGUACUCCCCCAUGUAUUGUGGUGGUCGUGAAGUCCCAUUCAAGUGAUGCUCUGCACACCGUUGGGCUUCUCUCUCUCCCCCCGGCCCCCACCCCCACCCCCACCCCCCCCCCCCAAAAAAAAAAAAAGAAAAAGAAAAAGAAAAAACACACACACGGAAAACACAACCCCAGUGUGAGCAUCCUCCUUUUCUCCUUCUUGCAGGGCGAAAGUCUGCUCGAGGAGCCUGAAGACGCACCAUCCCCACUUAUCGCCCCAGAGGCAGGCUAUCUAGCUGACAAGCUGUGCGGUGAAAAACCAGGUGCCCAUGUGCCUGCUGCUCACCCAAGGCCUGAAAGGGAUCAGCUGCUCAUUUUGCAGAGCAAAGUAAGAUGGCAACAAGGAACAUGCAGGGACCUUGUUGUAUCUGUAUGGAUGGACAUAUAUGUGCGUAUGAAGAAAUGGACUGACCGGAGGGGGGAAAUAUCAAAAAAAGUGUGCCUAGAUUGAUGAAAAACAAGCAUUUAUUGUGACACUGACAGCCAAAAAAUGGGCUAUUUCAAGCAAAAUGUCGUGGUCUGAAAACCCCAAAGCCACCAGGACAUUCUGCAAUGAAGUCACAUCACCUGACUCAUGCUUGGGUGACAGUGUUGGGGCCGCACCGCGAUAUGGGGCACUCGCGCCCAUCCCAGCCUCAGAAACCUCCAGUGCCAGACUUUUUACAAAACCCCCAGGUAACCUCUCCUGGCGCUGAACUCUCUUUAUAGUUUGACAUUUUAGCUCAUAUCUAACCUACAUUUCUUUUUUCUUUUUUUUUUUAUGCUGCAAAUUAAGCUGAUUAUUUCUCGUUCUACCCCCAGUGGAUCCAGAGAACAACUCAUCGUGUUUUUCUCUGCAACAGCCUUUUACAUCUUGGAAUACUGUUACCACCUCCUCGUUCCUAAAUUAAACAAACCCAGUUUCAUUGGUCUAUUCUCCUAGGUUAAUGUUUCUAAACUUCUUCCUUGUUCUUGCCCUUCUCCAAACUUUUCUCCCAUCCUUUUUGAAGUUCAGCAUCCAAAAUGGGGCACAGCCCUUGAAACCCAGCUCCCCGCUGCCGAUCAACCUGAUCCAGCUCUCCAAUGAUCACAACACAGAACGGGCUUUCUCCUCUUUCCCCAUUCUUUUCCCCAUCAUUUGUGGUUCAGUGCAAACCCCGGCUCCUUCGCUGGAAUACUGCUAUGGAAUCGCAUUUUGGUAAUGACACUCUGAUGGAUUUUAAAUGCAUUUCUCUGCUGUGACACAGCUGAGGUUUGCAACACAGCUGAAAAGAAGGUGAAAAAUCUCUACCUGGUGCCACACAAAUGAACGUAUGUAAUCUUUUUCGUUUCAGUAAACUCGCUUUUAAAAUGUCUAGGUUUUAGCAUCGCAGACAUAAUCCUCUUUUGAAAUACAUAUUACAACAUCGUAAGUAUUCUUUAGGGCUUUGGAAAUCGUGCCUUAAUAAAGUCAUAUCCAAACCUGUAAUGUUACAGCCACUGUCAGAUGUUAAGAACUCCGCAGUACAAAUUACCAUCCAGAAUUGCUGCGUAUGGGUCAGGUUUUCAGGUGAGAGGAAGGACCUUCUGUGGUUAAUUUGAAAUACAAGCAAUGCCCUUUGUUCACUCAGAACCACGUGGCUCAUUAAAAUGGAACAAAAUUUGGAAAACUAAGGUUGGUUAUGGCUUGUACUGCUGUUUUACCAUUUGUACUUCACUGCCUGUGGAUGAUUUCCAAACUUGCUCCGCACAUAUGUUUGUAAUAAAAAUAAUACCGUG